AACGAACGCUGGCGGCAGGCCUAACACAUGCAAGUCGAACGAGAUCUUCGUAUCUAGUGGCGCACGGGUGCGUAACGCGUGGGAAGCGGCCCUUGUGCUCGGAAUUAUUCAGAGAAAUUUGAGCUAAUAUCGGAUGAUGUCGAAAGAUCAAGGAUUUAUCGUCCAGGGAUGAGCCGGCGUAGGAUUAGCUAGUUGGUGGGGUAAAGGCCUACCAAGGCGACGAUCCUUAGCUGGUCUGAGAGGAUGAUCAGCCACACUGGGACUGAGACACGGCCCAGACUCCUACGGGAGGCAGCGGUGGGGAAUAUUGGACAAUGGGCGAAAGCCUGAUCGAGCAAUGCCGCGUGAGUGAUGAAGGCCUUAGAGUUGUAAAGCUCUUUUACCCGCGAUGAUAAUGACAGUACCGGGAAAAUAAGCCACGGCUAACUCCGUG
rnacentral:rRNA from 1 species